rnacentral:rRNA from 2 species
UGGAGCCAGCCGCCUAAGGUGGGAUAGAUGAUUGGGGUGAAGUCGUAACAAGGUAGCCGUAUCGGAAGGUGCGGCUGGAUCACCUCCUUU